CGGUAAUGCGUUGUUGCCAAACCGCCAUACGCAAAAUGGAAGCCUCAAAAACAAAGACUAACAAAAUCGAAAGCUCUGGGUAAUCUAUUUAGUUUUUAGUUUACACGAAAGUGUGUAAAAAUAUAGUAAUCGGAAAGUGGUAUUGACAUACAGUUCCGAAGAUCACGACGAUAAAGAGAAUAAAGAAGACGUUUUCAACUCUUCUACAGGAGGAAAUGGAGGACAGCCGUCUGAAAGCAGGGAGUACACCAAAGAAACCAACAACAGCGAGGAGAAACAGCGCAGUUCAUAUAGUGAACACCCAGUUCUGAAAAACGGGUCUAACUAUGUGUUUUGAGAAAAUAAUGAAACCCACGUCUCUGACCCUUCGGUUGUAUAUAUUCGGUGUUUAUUCUGUCCUGACGUAUGGGUGUGGGCCAAGUGAAUAUCUAUCGAGGGCUGGAGAAUGUUGUCCCAUGUGUAAUAUAGGGUCAGUGGUUUAUAAAGACUGUACUGGUGAUUACAGUACAUCAUGCAAACCUUGCUCUACAGGAACAUUCAUGAAUCUACCUAAUGGGCUUAAUAAGUGUUUGCAGUGUAAAGUGUGUGACAGUGGACUUUCUAUUCUGAAACGCUGUAUCACAACAAAGAAUACCAUCUGCAAGGUCUCGGAUGGAUAUUAUUGUUUAGAUUACAUAGAAGAGAAUGGUGAUUGCAUCCGUGCAGUAGAACACAGUAAAUGUACACCAGGGCAAUACAUAAAAACUCCAGGUACUAAGGCCUCAGAUACAGUGUGUGAGCCCUGUCCACCCGGAUCUUAUUCUCCUGAAGGUGUGAACUGCACUAAAUGGACUGACUGUUCAGACAAUAAUGAGGUUAAGACCCAAGAAGGCACUUCCAUUACAGAUGUUAAAUGCAAACGUAAAACAAAUAGAUCUCAUCUCAUCGUAGUUCCUGCUGUGGGAAUUUUACUGUCAGUUUUACUGACAAUUUUUUUAUUUGCGCUCAGACUCAGACCAGCAAACGAAGGUAGCAAAAAAUUAAAGGCUGCUGCUUGAUCUUGGAUUUGUUCUGAGACACUUUUUAAUUGUCUACAUAUAAAAAUAAGUCACUGCUUCUGUACAACUUUCUUUCCAUGGCGUUAACAUCUGUCUGCCUAAAAGAAUAAUUAUGAUCAAUAGCAAUUUGCAAAUCCUGUAUCCUUUUAUAUUUCUUAAGUUAAUUAUAAAAUACAUGACAGUUAAUAGAGUAGUGUCAAGAUAAUGAUUUGAUUCUGUUACACCUUAUUAAACUUAGUAAUUAAUAAAUAGUUGAGGGAUUUUAGUCUUUAGUGUGAAAUUAUGGAAAAGAAAUUGAGAUUUCCUUAAAGUAUUAUAAGUGGACUAUGCUAAUGUAGGAUCCACAUUUACUUUACACUUUACUUUCUAAUCCUGAUUGCAUACAUUCUAAUUAUUCAGAUGCGUCAACUGGCUUGGUAGAUCUCUUAAUGCUGGCUCUUUUUAUGCUUACAGAGUCCUGUAGAGGAAACCAGUCAUAACGAUCAAGCAGAUGCAUCACAAUCCAGCAAACUGGAAGAAAAAGACGAAACAGAUUCAUCAGAUGAAACGUGAACUGAAAAAGGAACACCUUGUGCAUGUAUACCAGCGUGAGUUCAGGAUUAUUCCAGGAGCAUUUAUUUCAGUGUUCUGAUCAUCAAAUCACCAGCUGUACAGAAGAAGACUUUAAGAAACCUCUCUGAUCCAUACCAGUCACUGACAUUCCUCCAGCAAUACCAGGAUUGUUGCUUUCAAUUUUUAAAAAUAAUUAAUUUAAUGCUGCUUCUUGGGACAUUAAAGUUGGGAUGAGUUUCUUUACCCUGACUUUGUAAACUUUGUAAAUGAAUUGACUUGUUUUAAUAGCUCCUCUUCAAUAUUGCCCACUGAAGUUGCCAAAAAGUGACUUUUCUCUUAACACUAAUUUUUUAUCAGUGAUUUGUCAAUUUUUAGGCUUUGAAACAAGGAAUAAUCUAACUUUUUUAUACAAUUUUUUUUUCAAUCCCAACCAGAAAAAGGGUAAUUUCAUAUGGCUAACUAAAUUUAGGAUAUGUUUAUGUCUGUGGAAAUAGGAGAGUUAAAUUUAUACUAAAUACCACCCUAAAUUUAAAAGAUACUUACUCGAUUUAGCUUAGUGGGACUGUAGAAGCUUCAAAGUCUCAGCUGAUUUCCGGAAAUAAUUUCUGCAUCGAAUGAGGGUUAUAUAAUUUGGCCGCUGACAUUUUUAUUAUAACCUGAGUGACAAACGGUGUAAAAAUUUACUGUAACCAAGACUUAUGGUAAUUUGCUUACAUACACAUCUAUUUGGAUUUAAGACUUGUAAAAAGACAAAAAUGUAACUAUCCAUUUAAUCCAUGUGCUGGCCUUAGGACAACGAGCUGUCUCUGCUGAAACUUCUUCCAUUGUACAGUCUAUUAUUCUCCCCUCUGCCCAUAUUGUUUACUAAUAAGAAAAGUAAUGUCUGUUAAAUAAGAUUUUAGUCAACUUCUCUUUAGUAUACUUUAGUGUAUAUCAAACUGCUAUGUUUGAUACAAAAUUAAGAUAGCAGUCAGUAAUUUGAUAGCAGUGGUAGCUUAGCAGUUUAAUUUGUAGCAAUCGGAUUAUUGAUGAUUAUAUUUCUAUUAAAAUAAGUAGAAAUACUGGCUCUUGAGAGUCUGAGUUUACUCUGAGACUCAUUUCUAAAUUUUUAGUUUUCAGAUAUCUAAUUUGCUUCUGUUUAAGCUUUUGAUGGUGGUGUUAAAGGGAGGGGGGGGGUUCAAGUACAUUUAAACCUUGGAUUGUGAGCAUUCAUUCUGGAAGUGUGAAAAUAGUGGCUGUAGUGAUUGAGACCUGAGACCCACUAUGGCUGUAGUGAUAAAGACCAGAGAGACCAGUCACAUAUACACACAGACACAUGGACACCCACAUACCAGCUCCCUAAAGAGCCAGAGAGAGGAGAGAAGGAUGGGGGCUAAUGUGUAGCACGACCUUUAUGGGGAUACACGCACACCAGUUUACCUAAAGUUUCUCAUUCACACAUGCGCGCGCGCAAACACAAAAAAAAUGCUUUAUGCACACUGAAUGUUGAUUGUACUAGUGAUGCAUGCACUGUGUGACUGAACAUAGGAGAUGAUUACCCACAAUAAUGCUCAUAUUUCAUGACCUUCCUCGUUUACCAUUUAAAUGUAUUUUAAAUUUUUCUUGUCUUGUAAAACAUUUGCGGACCAAGGUACUCGCAAUCCAAGGUUCCACUUGUACUUGUAUUAUUUUCUAUUUCUGUUUAUUUUGUUAUUUUUCAGAUAACAGUGCUGCUGAAUGUGUCUGUCAAAUAACUAACUACAUAAUUGCCACAUUCAUUUAAAUGCAUAACCUUUUUUAUAAUGUAAUUUUUGUCAAUAUGUCAAUAUUUUUUUUAUAUUUUUUAACACUUUCAAUAUACAAUAUGUACAAUAUACAGUUAUAUACAAUAGUAUGACCUGUUGGCUAAAAUCUUUUCUAAAAUGUGUGGCCUCCAGUCUUGCAGUAUAUUAUGACUUAUUAGGGGUGUGACGAGACACUUUUCCCACGAGACGAGACACGAGACUGGGUUCACGAAAACGAGACAAGACUUUUAGACAUUUUUUUAAAGAAAUCCUCAAUGUUUAAAUAUAUAGCAAAAAUUGCAUUUUAUUUAACUGAAAAACACAAAAUGGAAAAAAAGGCAUGUCUAUUUUGAAAUCAACUUUAUAAAAUAAAACUUCUAUUUUGAUGAAUGAUAUGCAGUAAUAGCA